UCCAGACUCCUACGGGAGGCAGCAGUGGGGAAUAUUGCACAAUGGGGGAAACCCUGAUGCAGCAACGCCGCGUGAGUGAAGAAGUCAUUCGUGAUGUAAAGCUCUAUCAGCAGGGAAGAAAAUGACGGUACCUGAGUAAGAAGCCCCGGCUAACUACGUGCCAGCAGCCGCGGUAAUACGUAGGGGGCAAGCGUUAUCCGGAUUUACUGGGUGUAAAGGGAGCGUAGACGGCCAUGCAAGCCAGGGGUGAAAGCCCGGGGCCCAACCCCGGGACUGCCCUUGGAACUGUGCGGCUAGAGUGCGGGAGGGGCAGGCGGAAUUCCUGGUAUAGCGGUGAAAUGCGUAAAUAUCAGGAGGAACACCGGCGGCGAAGGCGGCCUGCUGGACCGCGACUGACGUUGAGGCUCGAAAGCGUGGGGAGCGAACAGGAUUAGAUACCCCCGUAG
rnacentral:rRNA from 1 species